GCCCCGUUAGCUCAGUGGUAGAGCGUUUCCAUAGCCCCCUAUCUCUCUCUCUCUCUCUUCCGCUACCUAUGAUACCUAGAAUCUUCUAUCCGCUCCGCUCCCUUAGAACACAUUGCAAGACAUUGGUUCGAUUCCAGUACAGGGCA
rnacentral:tRNA from 1 species